rnacentral:rRNA from 1 species
UACGGAGGGUGCAAGCGUUAUCCGGAUUUACUGGGUUUAAAGGGCGCGUAGGUGGGUAGAUAAGUCAGCGGUGAAAUCUCCAGGCUUAACUUGGAAACUGCCAUUGAUACUAUCUGUCUUGAAUAUCCUGGAGGUGAGCGGAAUAUGUCAUGUAGCGGUGAAAUGCUUAGAUAUGACAUAGAACACCUAUUGCGAAGGCAGCUCACUGCGGGAUUAUUGACGCUGAGGCACGAAAGCGUGGGGAUCAAACAGG